rnacentral:rRNA from 1 species
CCUACGGGUGGCAGCAGUGGGGAAUAUUGCGCAAUGGGCGAAAGCCUGACGCAGCGACGCCGCGUGAGGGAUGAAGGUCUUCGGAUCGUAAACCUCUGUCAGCAGGGAAGAACGGUCACUGUGCUAAUCAGCAGUGAAUUGACGGUACCUGCAAAGGAAGCACCGGCUAACUCCGUGCCCGCAGCCGCGGUAAUACGGGGGGUGCGAGCGUUAAUCGGAAUUACUGGGCGAAAAGCUCUCGUAGGCGGUAUGUCAAGUCAAGGGUGAAAUCCCGGGGCUCAACGUGGGAACGGCCUUUGAAACGGGCAAACUGGAGAGUGUGAGAGGAUAGGGGAAGUCCGGGGGUAGGAGUGAAAGCCGUAGAUAUCUAGAGGAAAAUCAGUGGCGAAGGCGACGAUCAGGCACAUAACGGACGCUGAGGAGCGAAAGUGUGGGUAGCAAACAGGAUUAGUACCCUGGUAGUC